UACGUAGGGUGCGAGCGUUGUCCGGAAUUAUUGGGCGUAAAGAGCUCGUAGGCGGUGUGUCGCGUCGGCCGUGAAAACCUGGGGCUUAACUCUGGGCGUGCGGUCGAUACGGGGCAUCACUAGAGUUCGGCAGGGGAGACUGGAAUUCCUGGUGUAGCGGUGAAAUGCGCAGAUAUCAGGAGGAACACCGGUGGCGAAGGCGGGUCUCUGGGCCGAUACUGACGUGAGGAGCGAAAGCAUGGGUAGCGAACAGG
rnacentral:rRNA from 1 species